rnacentral:rRNA from 1 species
UACGUAGGGUGCAAGCGUUAAUCGGAAUUACUGGGCGUAAAGCGCACGUAGGCGGAUCUUUAAGUCAGGGGUGAAAUCCCGGAGCUCAACUCCGGAACUGCCUUUGAUACUGAGGGUCUCGAGUUCGGGAGAGGUGAGUGGAACUGCGAGUGUAGAGGUGAAAUUCGUAGAUAUUCGCAAGAACACCAGUGGCGAAGGCGGCUCACUGGCCCGAUACUGACGCUGAGGUGCGAAAGCGUGGGGAGCAAACAGG